rnacentral:lncRNA from 1 species
CUUAAUCAAAAAUUACAAUAGAUAGAUAGAGCUUUAUACUUAUACAACGGGAAGAACAAUCUAGAUCUCUUUUUUUAAUGAUCAGAUCUGAUUACACUUGUCAAGCAUCUAGCCACUCUCUUCUGCAACAAUAGGACCAAACCGGUUUGAUAGUACAAUUGUCGGAGAACCAGCUGGGAGUGACGUCUUCACCUUCCUUACACUCUGCAUAUUUGUGUCUUUGUGUUGCAGAGAAGAGUUCUGUUCUUUUUGCUCCUUUGUCGUCUUUUGCUGGNNNNNNNNNNNNNNNNNNNNNNNNNNNNNNNNNNNNNNNNNNNNNNNNNNNNNNNNNNNNNNNNNNNNNNNNNNNNNNNNNNNNNNNNNNNNNNNNNNNNGAGAAGAACUUUCAAUAUUACAAGGUAUUUGGGCUAUACUUGUUUUCCCGUUGUGGGCUUCAGGCCUUAUACUUUCAUCCCCCCGCAAACUGAGUGUGGGAGGAACUCGAACAUUCAGUUUGUGACGCAAGCGUUGGAAAGGCUGUCGGGAAAGAGACUUGGUAAACGUGUCGGCAAGCUGGAAUGGUGCUGGAAUGUGUUGAACUUCAAGAACACCNNNNNNNNNNNNNNNNNNNNNNNNNNNNNNNNNNNNNNNNNNNNNNNNNNNNNNNNNNNNNNNNNNNNNNNNNNNNNNNNNNNNNNNNNNNNNNNNNNNNGUCACAGCGAAGAACAGCAGGCCGAGAUUGUGAGAUUCCUAAAUCACGAAGAACAGAGGAAAUCCAAGUUAAUUCUGAUGCAGUAGAGGCAAGGGCUCGAUAUUCCGCCUCUGUAGAUGACCGAGAGACUGUUGGCUGUCUUUUAGCUGACCAAGAGAUGAUAUUAGAUCCCAACAAGACACAAAAACCAGAUGUUGAACGACGCGUAUCCUUGCAGCCAGCAUAAUCACUAUCACUAUAGGAGACAAGAGACAGAUCACUGUUCUUAUAAAUAUGUAACCCCAUUGUGGAAGUUCCACGAAGAUACCGGAGUAUGCGCUUAAGAAGACCAAAAUCAGAUUGUGUUGGAGAGUGCAUCCGUUGACAAAUAAAAUUAACCGCAAAUUGGAUGUCAGGACGCGUAAUGGUCAAAUAUUGGAGCUUUCCUGCAAGACUCCGAAAAUAAGAUGGGUCUGAAAAAGGAGUUGUAUCUUUAAAAACCUGAUCAAGUCGUAGCGGUAAAGGAGUGCGUGUGGGAUUGCAGGUUGACAUGCUGGCAUGAUGGAGAAUUUCUUCAGUGUAUUUGGCUUGAUGAAUAAAUAAACCGUGGUGGUGGGUUUGUGCUUGUAUGCCCAAAAAAUAGUGUAGAUUACCCAAAUCUUUCAUUGCGAAUCGAGAGCUAAGAUCAGCAAUUAGUGACUUGAAUAAUGUAGGAUUAGAACCAGUAAGCAGUAUGUCAUCAACGUAUAGCAAGAGAACCAUGGUGUCACCAUUGUGAUGAUAUGUGAAGAGUGAUGGAUCUGCUUUACUGCAAACAAAGCCAAAUUCCAAGAGAAAGUUGCUAAACUUAUCAAACCAAGCGCGGGGAGCUUGCUUCAAACCAUAUAAAGCCUUCUUUAAAGAGCAAACAUGAGUUGGAUGAUUGACAUCUUCGAAACCUGGAGGCUGAAUCAUAUAAACUUUCUGUUGUAGAUCACCAUGAAGAAAGGCGUUCUUCACGUCGAGUUGAGUAAUAUUCCAGCCUUUGGUUGUAGCGACUGUGAGAACAAUCCGAAUUGUAGAUGUUCGAACCUCAGGGCUGUACGUCUCAUUGAAAUCAGCCCCUGGUUCUUGAUUGAAACCUUUGGCCACGAGACGUGCUUUGAGCUUAUUUACUGUGCCAUCUGCAUUGAGUUUAACUGUAAAAACCCAUCGACAUCCCAAUAUAUUCAUCUCAGCAGUAGCAGGAGUCAAGGACCAUGUAUGAUUUUGAUAGAUGGAAUCAAGUUCUUCUAUCAUAGCUUGUCGCCAACCCGGAUGAUUCAACGCUUCAGUCACACUUUUAGGAAGAGAAGGAAUAGUUUUACUAGCAACAAGGGCGUACCUUGGGUUUGGUUUACGAAUGCCGUCUUUAGAUCGUGUUGUCAUUGGAUGGAGUGAUGAAGGUCCAACCGUGUUAUCUUCUGUUGUUACUUGUGUAGGAGAAUCAUUGUUUUCUGUUGUUAAGGUGGAAUAGUCCUCUGACGGUGAAGCUACAGGACUUGGUGGUGCACAUGGUGUCUCAUCUUGUGGAUAUUCCACAACACAUUCAGCUGGAGGUGUAUCACGUUGAGAGCUUGCCUUGGUUUGUGAUGGAAGGAUUGGUAUAGUUCGGAAUUGAUCAUCACUGGAUUGCCAAGCGCCAAGUAAACCAGUUUUAUGACGUGUAACCAAUUCUUUGUAUCUAUCCAUGAACGGAAAGCAUGAUUCAUCAAAAAUAACGUGCCUACUUAUGUAGACACGACCUGUUGGUGGAUAGAGACACCGAUAUCCUUUGUAUUGAGCAUGAUAUCCCAGAAACACGCAUUGAAGAGAACGCGGUUCAAACUUGUGUUGGGUGAAUGGUCGAAGGCAUGGAUAGCACGCAGCACCGAACACACGGAGAAAGGAGUAAUCUGGUUUCUUGUUCAAUAAAAGCUCAUGUGGACUCUUCUGUUGCAGCACAAUAGAGGGAAGCAAGUUGCUGAUAAAGUUAGCUGAAUAAAAUGCCUCAACCCAAUACUUAAGAGGUGUUUUGCUGUGGAAUAACAUUGAUAGACCAAGCUCGGUUAAGUAUCUGUGUUUUCGUUCUGCUAUACCAUUUUGUUCUGGCGUUGAUGGACAUGAGAUGAGAUGUCGAAUACCGUGAUCUUGUAAAUGAUUUCUGAAACGAGUGCUCAUAAACUCACCACCACCGUCGCUUUGAAACACUUUUAUCUUCUUACUAAACUGAUUCUCAACUUGUUUUUGAAAACCAAUAAACACAUCACAGAAAUCAGACUUUGACUUGAGAGGAAACAUCCAAGAAUAUCGAGAAAAUUCGUCCACAAAAACUGCAUAAUAUUUGAAACCUUGAACUGAUACAACUGGAGAAGGACCCCAAAGAUCACAAUGUAGUUGAUCAAGUGGCUCCAUAACAUUAGAUGUAGAAGAAUAAAAAGGAAGCUUAGAACUCUUUCCCAUUUGGCAAGGUUCACAAAUGGAAGUAGUGCUGCUCUUAUUAACUGAAAUUGCCUUGCUGUUUUGGAGAAGAUGAAGAAUCUGAAAGUUUGCAUGGCCGAGACGUUGGUGCCACACCAUAUCACUUGCAGCAACUUGUCGAUUUGAAUAAAAAGCAACAAACUCCGGAUUCUUCAACACAUAGAGGUUAUCACGGCGUGGUCCUCUUGUCACCACCUUCUGAGUGUUUAAGUCAAUAAUAUAGACAUGAUUAGCAUCAAAGAAAACUCCACAAGGGUAAUCGUCACACAACUUGGAUACUGACAACAGUGAUUUCUGCAUUGAGGGGCAAACAAGGACAUCACAAAGAGGGAUACUACCUGUUGUGGUGUUGAGGACCGUAGACCCAACAUGAGUGACAGGUUGAUAAGUACCAUCAGCAACCAUCACUGUCUCAGGACCAUUGUAUGGUGUAGCAGCUUGGAGGGGAGCCGUUGUAGGAGUAAUAUGAGCGGAAGCUCCAGAAUCUGGUAACCAUUCAUGACCAUUAGCAUCAGAGACAUGAAGUGCUGCAAGUGCUUGAGGAACAUCAUCACUCUGAUAAGAUGCAUCAAAACGAUUCCAACACUUCAAAGCAACAUGUCCAACACGCCCACAAAUUUGACAAACUGGCCGAGAAUUGUUAGAACCAUUAGAUUGUUGAGACUGGGUUUGAUUCCAACCAGAGGAAUUGACUUGUUGUGAAAAACCUCUGCCGCGAGUCGAGAAACCACCUCGAUUAGAAUUUCCCCCUCUGCCUCUGUUAUUGCCACGACCACGAUAUCCUGAAACAAAGAAUCCACCUCUUUGGGUUUGAAACGCGAGAUGCGGAGAAACAUCGGGAGCAUCUUCAUAGGAUUUCAAUUUUGAGUCAAACGCAGAGAUUUCCAGGACGACGUCGUUAAACGUUGGUGCAGGGAGGCGAGACAUAGAACUUUGGAGCACGGUGGAUAUUGGGUCAUACUCACGGCCCAAUCCAUUAAGGAACGUGAAGAUUUUCAUAUUGUCAUCAACAGGCUUUCCAAUGGAGCUAAGACUGUCGCAAAUAGCUCGGAACUCACGACUAUAAACAGAGAAGGUUUUACCUUUGAUUGUCAACAUCUGAAGACGGCGUCGGAGCUCAAACUCUCGUGCGACGGAGCUUUUGUUGAAAUUAGAAGCGAGAGAAAGCCAGACAUCGUGAGAAGUGGGUAAUGCGUGAACGAGACCGAGCACCUCCUCUGUGAGAGUACCAAAAAUCCAUGAUUUUAUUAGCUCAUCGGUACAGGUCCACGCUUCAAACUCUGGAUUUGGGUUUGUAACAGCGACAUUGUUGACGGUGGUGACGGUUUGAGCAGCCGGUGGUGUGAUUGAGCCAUUGACAAAACCAAGAAGCUUCUGGCAACGAAGAAGUGACUCAAACUGGGUUUUCCAUAGAAGAUAGUUAUUAUCACUUAGUUUUAUAGUGACAGAGGUAGCAACGUGAAGAUUAGAAGGAAAUGGAAAAGGACCCUCUGCCAUUACAGCACCUGUUAAGGUUUAAGAGAGCUCUGAUACCAUGAGAACAAAUGAAAAAAGAAAGGGUUUCUCUGCUGAAUAAUACUUUCUUGGAUCUGUAUUGCUUAAUCAAAAAUUACAAUAGAUAGAUAGAGCUUUAUACUUAUACAACGGGAAGAACAAUCUAGAUCUCUUUUUUUAAUGAUCAGAUCUGAUUACACUUGUCAAGCAUCUAGCCACUCUCUUCUGCAACAAUAGGACCAAACCGGUUUGAUAGUACAAUUGUCGGAGAACCAGCUGGGAGUGACGUCUUCACCUUCCUUACACUCUGCAUAUUUGUGUCUUUGUGUUGCAGAGAAGAGUUCUGUUCUUUUUGCUCCUUUGUCGUCUUUUGCUGGUGAGAAGAACUUUCAAUAUUACAAGGUAUUUGGGGUAUACUUGUUUUCCCGUUGUGGGCUUCAGGCCUUAUACUUUCAUAUUCUACGAUAUAACUUGU